rnacentral:rRNA from 1 species
AUUGAACGCUGGCGGCAGGCUUAACACAUGCAAGUCGAGCGGGGGGAGGUAGCUUGCUACCGGACCUAGCGGCGGACGGGUGAGUAAUGCUUAGGAAUCUGCCUAUUAGUGGGGGACAACAUCUCGAAAGGGAUGCUAAUACCGCAUACGUCCUACGGGAGAAAGCAGGGGAUCUUCGGACCUUGCGCUAAUAGAUGAGCCUAAGUCGGAUUAGCUAGUUGGUGGGGUAAAGGCCUACCAAGGCGACGAUCUGUAGCGGGUCUGAGAGGAUGAUCCGCCACACUGGGACGGAGACACGGCCCAGACUCCUACGGGAGGCAGCAGUGGGGAAUAUUGGACAAUGGGGGGAACCCUGAUCCAGCCAUGCCGCGUGUGUGAAGAAGGCCUUAUGGUUGUAUAGCACUUUAAGCGAGGAGGAGGCUACUUUAGUUAAUACCUAGAGAUAGUGGACGUUACUCGCAGAAUAAGCACCGGCUACUCUGUGCCAGCCGCCGCGGUAA